CACAAUCAGUUCCCGUUCAAAUCCUGAAACGUGAAUUAACAUCCCAGCUGCCCUCGUCUUGGUUCCAAGACCUCCCUGUGAUCUCUAGUAGGAGUUCAACAGUAUGCAUUAAUGCAAGCGUGCCUACAACUUAACAGAAGCCGUCUCUACCUCAUCAAUUCUUCUCAUAAUCAGGCAGAAACCAACGUAGCGCCCUUCCAACAUGGUUAUGUUCUGGAAAGUAACCUGUGCUUUGGCAAUGUCUGGGUUUACGCUCGUCCGUGGAGUACCACUACAGGUUACACACAAACCCUCCAUGGACUCGACAACCCCAACCCCGGCACCAGGCACUUCUAUAGAUCAGGCUAGUCUGGAUAUGAACAAAAUUUGCCAGGACAACGACAAAACGACGGUCUACGAAAAGGCUUUACAGAUGUGCAUAUCCUGUUUUUCUUGUGACCCCGAAUCUAAGGACGACCACUGUGUUACAUGCCGAGAUUUCAGGAGAAACCAAUCAGCGCCCGGGAAAUUCCAGUUGAAGCUAUUUAGGGAUCAUUCCUGGCAAACCAUGGAGGAAGGAACACAGCAAACCAACCACCUCUCCCGGACCUGUCACCCUCACUGUUGCGUACGGUGGGGCAGACGGGGAUGAUACAGACGGUCACGGAGGCAGUGACACCGAUAUCGACGCAGGAGGAACGCUUCAGGACGUCAAUAUAGGAAGUACAGUUCCACCCCAAGGUCCUCCACAAAGUGACUUGGAAAACCCACAGGCCCAAAAUGGUUCACCAGGAUUAGGUGUGCCACUGAUAACUGCCAUUGUCGUCGUAGUCGUUGCAAUUCCUAGUUGUAUGCUCGGGGCAUUCGUCUUCCAGAGGAGACAUGCCCCAUUUCAGCGUUUGCCUGUGCAGGAGACGAACCCACCUGAUCCAACCACCCCAUUUACAUGUACCAGUGGGGAUCUGACGGGCUUUAUACCGCCGAAUCAUGAAUUCUCAGAGAGUGAGGCCAGCCUUUAGGGAAUCAACAACCAAAGCUCUGAUUUUUUCAGUUUCCUUUUCUGUGUAGGGCCAAUACGUACUUCCCGUUGCGUUUCUAAAGGUGAAAAAGAUGGGAAAUAUAAAAGCAAAACAGUAAAAAAUGUUCACUGAGCCAGCUAGUAUUUGCGUUUUCUUGCAAAAUGAAGGGCUUCCGAGACAACCUCAACUCCAUUGGCUGCGUGCACGUUCCUUCACUUUGAUCCCCAAAAACAUGGCGUGGCAAGAUCAUACCCGGAGAACGAGGUUGCGUCUGAGGUUGUUAGGGAUGGCGCUAUUUGUUCUCGCUUUUAACCUUGCACUUCUGAAAUACCGAAAUGACUUAUUGGUUCCUAACUACGCAAGAAGAAAUAAGUAUCUGAAGAUCUACAGGGUUGGGAGUUUUACGUUAAAAACACUAAAAAAUAUUAAACAAAAAAAUGGCUAUUUCCAAUUCAGAAUCUGCCCAGCGAUAAAUACGUGAUUGCGUACCGAGGGAUGAGGUCCCCUUGGAUAUUGACCCAAUUGAAGGGGAAACUUUAUGAACAGGUACCGUCACAUGGUUGGGCUUGGCCUACAACAAGUAGUUGUAGGCCAAUUUCCCUGUCGCAGAGAGGAGAUUUACAUUUUCUUUUUACAGGAGAAUAUUAUAGAGUACAUGUACUAAGUGGAUAUGUCACAUAUGAGCGUGCAUUAAUCUCCAUUCUAAAGUCUUGAUGAUGGAGAUCAAUGUUAGUGCAAGAACUAGUGCGUAAACCAACACAGAAUACGCACGUGUGCAUGUAUAGAGGGGCUCGUGGGGUACUGGAACAAUGGAAGAUACCCCACAAGGCCAGUUUUGAGUACUAAAAUGGUACCCCACAAGAUUUUCACAUAACAGAUAUUUCAAAUUUACUCAAAAAAGGAGGAAUUUUCGAGUGUCAUUCAUCGUAACAAAAUGAAGUAUUUUAAAUAGGGGACGUUCAGUCGAAUUUCCAUGGUAGGAAAGUGAAUAUUGUUCGAAUGAGAGUGAUUUGAAAUUUUUUGCGUGUUGUGUGGAAGUGGAAGUUUGUUCACGAGAACAAAGAAAAUACCCACAAGUAUAGCUGUGUAAGAGAGUUUUUUCUGCAUUCAGUUAAGUCUUCUAAAAAAG
rnacentral:misc_RNA from 1 species